UGGCGGAUCCCUCCACGGACCGUCAUGAGAGGGAACCCGGUGAGAGUCCGGGACUGUCCCGCAGCGGUGUGCAGGAACGACCGCCGUCAUCGGCACUGGCCCGCAAGGGCUGGGAAGCGACGGCCAGUAGGAACCGAAGACGAAUGCCUGCGAGUCCGAAGACCUGCCG
rnacentral:ncRNA from 2 species